CCGCAUUUCCAAGUCUUUCACACACUUCACGAAGGCAAUCAGUGUGCUGAUUUUAUGAUUAAGCUUGGUGCUAUUGACCAAUUUAACAUCAUUGUUCACACUUCUCCUCUGCAUCGUGUCAAGGACUUGCUUGCUACUAAUGCUUCGAGAACUUUUUGUUGAGAGCGUACUCUCUCGUUUUUCUUUUCUUUUAUUCUGUCUUAG
rnacentral:lncRNA from 1 species